AUAGGAACAGCUCCAGUCCACAGCUCCCAGCGUGAGCGACGCAGAAGACGGGUGAUUUCUGCAUUUCCAUCUGAGCAGGCUUUUCUUCUUGGAGCUGAAACAGGCGCACUGGCGAGGGUUGUGAGGAAAGGUUUGCAGCCCCCUGCCUUGGUCUGCUAUAGCCAGUGACACGAUCAAUACCAGGGUGAGCAGCAGAGGAAGCUCAGGGAAGAUUAUGAAGAUGAGAAUUCAUUACCUAUCAAAGAAAAUGCGUAAACUCUAGAAGUAUUGCUUGCUCCUUUGCCACAAAGUGUACAUUCAAGAGUAAAUUGUUUAAAGCCAAAGGGAGAAACUCAAGCCCCUGAGAACAUGUUACUCCUUUGGACCAGCAAGAGGCCAGUGCUCCGAAAUACGCACUCAGAACACCAGGGCCUUGCGCCACGUCCUUAGCCUCAGCUUUCUACUUGCUAAAAUGGAAAUAACAACAGUACCUACCUUACAGACCUGGCGUGAGGAUUAAAUUAUACCAGCAAAGUGCCUGGCACCUAGAAUUUGCCUGAGUUCUGAUCAAUGCUAAAAACACCAUUUAACAGUGCCCUUUCCUGCCUGGGAAGCCCACAAAGAUUUCGCUUUUCACUUAUUACUCAUCAAACUGACUCUGGUUCACAGUGGAAAAGAGAAGAAAAGCUGAUGGAGAAAUGGCAGUGAAGAAGGAGAACAAAAUGUCAGAGCAAUACUUUUGAGCGACUAUAUCCUUUUCAUUAAAGGUGUCAACACGUUUAUUUGCAUCUUUGACCCUAGGACUAGGGAAGUGCUGGAAAUUAUGUGGGUACUUUUUCCCAUGGGAAAAAUGUACCUCCUGGGUCGGGGGAAGGCUGAAAAUAGGUGAAAGUGAGAAUACUCAGUUGAUCUUCAAUUUUUUUUGUCUUAUAAUUAAAAAAGUGCUGUUGAAAGGAAUAGGGUUGCAUUUCACCUAGAAUCAGUGCCAAGUAUCAACAGCUAAUGUCUGUCUUUUGAAGAAAGAAUCUUUCAUACCAUGGGGGUUUUAAAGCUACUGAUAAAACAAAAAGCUAUUUUCUGAAGACCAGCCAACCUGAAAAACAAGUGUUUUAAAACCUAGAGAAUUUCCUUUAAUGUAAAUAAUCAAAGAUGUUUUCAAUUAUUUUGCUAUUACUUACAUACAAUGGUUUUACGUUUAUGAGAAGUGCUAUCCCUGAAAUAACAAUAAUAUGAUCAUUUAUAAGUGGGGUGUGGAAAAAUAACACAAGCAUACAGAAAACCAGGAAGGAAUUUUUCCAGUAAAAAUUAAGCAAUAUUCACCACAAUUGGCUCACAUUGUGGAACUGGGAAGAACAAGAAAAUAAUAAAAAGAAAAAUAAAUCUUUACUGAAAUGUAGUGAUAGUGUUUCACUCGCAACCGCUUCUUCAAAUUGAGAUGCAGAAGAAAUGUGUAAAAAGCAAAACUGGUACAAAUCUUGAUUACAAUUUUGGAUCAGUUUAAGACAAUAUGGCUCAACAGAGCAAUUUACAUAGGCUAACAGAGCAAACUUGAGUUGGUAAUUUACUUUAUUGGAUACACAUUUCACCUACAAAAAAAAAAAAAGAAAGGAGGGAGGCAGGAACAAAAGCAGAAAGGAAGAAAGGGAUGUAGGGAGGGAGGGAAGGGAAAAAGAACAUAAAUCCAGGUUUGAGAUUAUAUAUAGAGCAGCUAUUAUCUCCCAAGUAAAGAUUUGGCCAUAAAUUACAAAUUAAUUUAGAAGUUGUGUAAUUUGGAUUUUCUUUUAGCGUUCAAAUUAAAGUCAAUAUUUAUCUUUUUGCACAUUGUUUCUUCAAGUCUGAUCCUUUCAUGUUUGCACUUUAUGUCCCAACUUUAUUUUCUACUCAAUCAAGCAUUAGAAAAGAGUAACAGCUUGUACAAUAUCACAAUGCAAUUGAAAAGUGAAGUUUUUCAGUAUUUGCAGACAUGUUAAUUAUAUUCCAAUUUUUGUAAGCAAUAAAGAGAAAAAUACUUGAAACUGGUAAUAUGCAGUUUACAUAGCAAAGAAAAGGUCAGUGAAGAAACAUCCUUCACUGACCUCUGAAACAAAUAUUAUAGAUUUUACACGCAGGAAACUUAUUACAUGCAAACUUUCUUUUGUAAGCAUUUGUAUUCUAAAAGUUGCAGCCACCUCUCUGCAUAUGUUAGAGGUAAGAAUAAAAAAGUUUUAAGUUCUUAAGCAUUGAAAAUGAUAAUUGAAUGGUACAGAGAGUUUCAUUAAUUGACCUUAGAGAUAGAAAAGAAAAUUUAGUUUCAAGACCCAAGUUCAUCUAAUUGUUGUUUAGUAUUAACAUUAUUGGAUAGUAGUAUUACUAUAUUGUUAAAUUUUACUUAAAUGGACAAAAUUGACUUUACCAUUUAAAUGUCUGCUUUAAUUUUUAAAAAUUCUAAACAUAAUAAAAAUUAAGUCCAUCUGGUGAAAUGUAAAAUGUUAACAUAAGACUUUCCUAUAAGUAUGAAUGAAAUAUUAAGUGAAGUUUUUUAGGUCAAUAAACAAUACAUAGUACAAAUUCAAUUUUGGUCAGUCUGGAACUUACCAAAAGAAUACUAGCACCAGUAUGUAUAAGAAAGAAUAAUCCUUAAUUAAUCUGUAUUUUUUCUAGUAUACCAUCCAUCCAUAAUACCUUGGGGAAAAAGUAUUCUCAAUAAAAUUAAAGCAGUAAUAAUUUCACACUCCCAAAAUACAUAAAUUUGUUGAAGCAAUCUGUCAGUUUCAAAAAUACAGGCAUUCACACCCACAAAAAUGACUUUUUUUAAGAGUAUAUGGGAAUUAUGCUUCACAUGAGUAAAACAGGGUUAGGUUAGCCCCAGUGUUUCAUUUUUAUAUGUAAGGCACGAAUAUCAGUCUAAAUUGACAGAGGGCAAUCUUCAAAUGUGUUAUGAGAGCCAGUGUCCCCUCUCCCUAGACCACUUGCAUCACACAUCAAUUUGAGCAUAUUUUAGGUAAGCAAAUUAUUAUUAAAUCUACAUUAAAUACUUUUUGGAACAAGGGAUGGUAUAAACAAACCUCUAUGUAAAAUUAAUUGUUUUGAUGCUAUAACGGUGAAAUAUUUGUGUGUUUUAAAAUCUCCAUAUAAGAAAACAUACAUGGAGAUACUGUUAAGCCAAAUGCAUGCACACAUACUGAGCACUGUCUGAGACAUUUGCAUUAGUUUUCUGAUGUACAACUUUACAACACUUCACAUGGUCGAAAUGUACUUUGAAAAAUAAAAGACCCAUUGUACCAGUAAGGGAAAUUGUAAACAGCUUUUUACUGCACUUCUAAUGCUAUUAAAAUAUAGAAUGUGUGGUCUCUUCUCUCUUCUACUAGUACUUUAGCAAUGUCAACUGGAAGUGCAUCCAUGAUCACUUUAUCCAGCUGUCUCUCUCUCACUCCCAGCAAACUCUUAGAUAUACUUGAUAAAUAUUUUCAUCUAAUUUGGUUCAUCUGUUGUUUUUAUUAACAACUAAUUUAAUAUCCUCUGUUCUGCAAUAUUUGCAAAAGUCAGUCUAUAGACGUGAAGCCAACAGGGACCCUCAGGCCUGUGCAUCAGGAUGGUGGGCUGCCUAAGUCCUCUGGGGACAGCAGUGCCAGAAGGAGUAUUGGACACAGUGACCCGACUGUAUGAGAUGAGAAAAAACAAAAACAGGAGGUCCGCAGUACUGAUGAACUAAUCUGUCACUCACAAGCUCAGGUCUGCAAAAAAAAGAAACGAAGCACUAAACAUGGCCAUAAGAGAUGGAAAUGCAAGUCUUCAUUUCUAAAUGAUAAUCAAACCAACGAUCAGAAACUGAUUAACUGUGUAAUUGAAUUGAAUUGAAAAUCAUCCCAUGAAUAACAAUCCAUCCUACCUUCAAGGGGUUAGGAAGCUAACUACAGGUAAUUGCUAUCAGAAAUCUGAUUUGAUUUCCAAAAAUUGUGUGAAUGAACCAAGUUUCUUCAUCUUGAUAUACUAGGCAGGGAGUUUGUUCUUCCAAGUACUAGACUGCUUAAUUGCUUGCUUGGGGGAGGAGAAAUCCUAGGGGAAAGGCAUAUAUGAGCAAUUUCUACUCUGUGAAGCCAGCGCUGUGUCCUGAGCUGGAUCAUGGCCAGAAACAGAAAAGUCUACUCUUCCCUACAGUGGAAGCAACUGUGGAUAUUUCAUCCUAGGAGUGAAUGAAAAAACCUAAAGCUCAUACUUCAUGGGAAUCUUUCAAUAUUCUGACUGAAAACUGGUUAUUUGCUCCUCCAACCCAAAGCCAUCUAGGAACAGCACUCAGAACAGGAAAAAAAAAAGACAAAAAUAAUAAUUAUUCCAAAACGUAUUUGAGCAGAAACAAACACAAACAUUUGCAUUAUUAAAUGGGCUUGUUCACACCUGCUGAGUAGAUAUAAGACGAUAUUUAAGACAAGAGCUAAAAAAUAAACCAUCCCUUUCUGGUUUUGAGUGACAGCAGAGCAAUAAAAAUUAUUUUCACAUUCUUUUCCCUAUUGUUAGAAGUAAUCAUUUGAGUAAAUACACUUAUCUGUGCUGUAACUAUUGAAAUGAAUCCACUUCAAAUAUGUAUACCACCUUUCUUUUUUAUAUUUCUAGAUAUGGUUUCAAUAUAGACUUUCUGACUUUUAUGGUAUACAUAUAGGACAAUAUUCUAUUCUUCUUUCCUUUUAAAUACUUACUGUUUCAAUUUCAAAUAAAAAAUCAGCAUUCUAGUUUGUACAUUUUAGCACAGAAAUGUUUACAACCUUCAGCACAAUUGCUUUUGUAAUUUACUGACUUGGCAUUUUGAGGCGUUUUUAACAAAUUAUGAGAAAUAACACCUUCAGAAAGCAUGUGACUACUUUGAUGCAACUAUUUACAAUGUAUUCAUAAGAAGUCAUUAACCUGUAGAGUUCUUAGACAUGUGGAACCUUUAACAAUUAUACUAAAGAGUACAUACAAAAUACAGAGCUAUGUAAUAAUAACUAAUUUUAAAUCCUGACAAAUUAGAAGUUAAGCCUACUAUCUGUAAAAAUAUGUCCUGAUUCAUUUUUUUAAGUAUAUACCUGAGCCUUUAAAAAGUAUAUGCCUUUACAAUUGAUUUCCAAUAAACAAUACUGAAUAACAAACUACAAGUGACUUUCCUGAUUUUUUCACCAGAAAUAUAUAGAAAAAGGAAAUCCUAUUCUUAUUAGAGAUUGAAGUACAGUAAUUCUGCACGGUAUUAAGAACCAUAACUAUGCCAUACAGAAGACAGG
rnacentral:lncRNA from 10 species